rnacentral:rRNA from 1 species
GUGAGGAAUUUUCCGCAAUGGGCGAAAGCCUGACGGAGCAAUGCCGCGUGAAGGAUGAAGGCCUAUGGGUUGUAAACUUCUUUUCUCAGAAAAGAAUUAUGACGGUAUCUGAGGAAUAAGCAUCGGCUAACUCUGUGCCAGCAGCCGCGGUAAGACAGAGGAUGCAAGCGUUAUCCGGAAUGAUUGGGCGUAAAGCGUCUGUAGGUUGUUUAAAAAGUAUUCUGUCAAAGAUUAGGGCUUAACCCUAGAUAGGCAGAAUAAACUUUUAAGCUAGAGUUUGGUAGAGGCAGAGGGAAUUCCCGGUGGAGCGGUGAAAUGCGUAGAUAUCGGGAGGAACACCAAAGGCGAAGGCACUCUGCUGGGCCAAUACUAACACUGAGAGACGAAAGCGAGGGGAGCAAAUGGGAUUAGAAACCCUGGCAGUCC